rnacentral:rRNA from 1 species
AUACGGAGGGUCCAAGCGUUAUCCGGAUUCAUUGGGUUUAAAGGGUCCGCAGGCGGGAAAAUAAGUCAGUGGUGAAAGCCUACAGCUCAACUGUAGAACUGCCAUAGAAACUGUUUUUCUUGAGUAUAGAUGAAGUGGGCGGAAUAUAUCAUGUAGCGGUGAAAUGCAUAGAUAUGAUAUAGAACACCGAUUGCGAAGGCAGCUCACUAAACUAUUACUGACGCUCAGGGACGAAAGCGUGGGGAGCGAACAGGAUUAGAAACCCUAGUAGUCC